AUGCUAACGAAGCGCCUCGUCAAAGCGCCUUUGUGCCCCGCCAGCUCCAUUGAGGCCUCUCCUCCGGGGCGCACAAAGGCCCCACUGUCCCCGUGUCCCCGUCCNNNNNNNNNNCGGUGUCCCCAACCCCACGGUCCCCAAUUUUGUACGGGGACGGGGUGCAGACCCUCCGCUCCCAGUUGCCACCAGUAUCACGGCCCCCGUUUUUGGGGUGGAAAGGGGGGAAAUUGGGGCUGGCGGGGAGCCCGGCCACGGCUGGCACCGUGCGGGCACGGGAACGGCGCCCGGGUUGGCGAUGCCAGCGGGCCACGGGGAGGGGGGACGGGUCCCCGUGUCCCCUGCCCUGUGAGGACCCCCCACAUGCUUGUGGGGGGGGGGAAACUGAGGCAGGAGGCGNNNNNNNNNNNNNNNNNNNNNNNNNNNNNNNNNNNNNNGGGGGGGGGCAAGGAUCCCAAAAAAGGGGUGCAGGGAUGCUGGGGAGGGGAAGGACCCCAAAAAGGGGGAGAAGGGAAUAGAGGGGUGCAGGAACCCCCAAAAAAACAGGGGCUGGUUUUGGGGGCAGGGGCUGGUUUUGGGGAUGUGCGGUGCCCCCGGGUACCAGCAGUGACCUGGUUGGGGACGGGGACAGGGCCCUGCUCCCGGUGCCACCGUCCCCUCCACGGGACUUUGCCGAGGGGGGGGCGCGGAUAUGGCACAGGAGGGCCGGUGGCAGCACCACGCGGGGUGGCCGCUGCCUUCCGGGGCCCCCCCUGGCUUUGGCCGGCGCAGGGCCACGAGGCUCCAAGGAGCCCCCCCAGGCUGCCACCGCGUCCCCGGUGUUCCCGGCACGCCGCCUCCCGCAGCCAGCUCGGAAACCACGGCGGGGCCAAACGCUGGCGGGGGCUGAAAGGCCUGAAAGGGGCCUUUCUGUGCCGGGGGGGGACCGGGGUCGGGGACGGGGACAGGGACGGAAGCGCGCCUGGCGCCGCCGCCAGCCCCUUGUGCCCAUCGCCUCCCAUUCAUCCCCUCCUUCCUCUUCCUCCCGGCCCGAUUCAGUCCCCGUCCCAGGCAGGACAGCCGGGUCCUGGCCCCGGGAGAGGUGGCAGGGGGACAGCCGGGGACAUUGUGGGGAGGGCAGGGAGGGAGGGAGGAGCGGACGGACAGAGGGACAGGUGA
rnacentral:lncRNA from 1 species